rnacentral:lncRNA from 1 species
GUGCUAAAUGCAUGGGCAGAGUUGUUGCCUAAUGUAUAUUAUGAAUGUGGACAUAUUGACCUGAUUAUGAAUCAACCUAUAUUUCUGAAUGAGAAAAUCAAGAACAAAGAAAAAGUUUUGUAUAAUAAAGUAUUUAUGAGUGCAGGUCUACGGCAAAUAAAAGAUUAUACUUAUGAGGUAAUUCCAGGGUUUUUACCUGGGGAAGCUAUUUUUGACAUAAUCAAUGAAUGGGAUGAAGAGGUGGGAAGGGGAACAGUGAAUAAUAUGUAUGACAAGAUAAAGAAUAGUAUACCAAGAGCAUGGGUUGAUUUAAUAAAUAGUGAAGUUGAAAGAGAAGAUUUAUUUGUAUUUCCUAAUUUGUUCAUUGGUAGCAGUAAGAAGAAAGUACAUUUAUCUAGUAUACCAGUGAAAAGAUUGUAUAGAAUAAUGGUAGGAAAAGUGUGUAGAAGGCCGGCUGCUGAGAAAUUUUGGAAAGUAGUUUUUCCGGAAUUGGAUGAAAAAAAGAUAUGGGGAAAUUUAAAUGUAAAAUAUAAUAGUAAGGAGUGUGAAAAUAAUGAUUUCAAACUAAGACAUAAUAGAAUAUUUACAAAGGUGGUGCUAAAGAAAAUUAAUUGUGAGAUAGAAAGGGAAUGCGACGUAUGUGGACGUUUCCCGGAAACUCUUAUGCAUUUGUUUAUAGAAUGUGAGGAUUUAAAAUAUUUUUUUUGUAAAGUUAAGGAAAUGUUAUGUAGAAACUGGGGGGAGAUUUCGUGAAAAAGUAUGCGUGGGAGGAACUUUUGUUAUUUGGAGUGUCUGGUAAAUGUGAG